rnacentral:rRNA from 1 species
GACGAACGCUGGCGGCGUGCUUAACACAUGCAAGUCGAACGAGGUCCACUGCGUAGCAAUACAAGGGAAGACCUAGUGGCGAACGGGUGCGCAACACGUGAGGAACUUGUCCCGGUCUCUGGGAUAACAGUUGGAAACGACUGCUAAUACCGGAUGACGUCGGAAUCUCGCAUGGGAUACUGACGAAAGGGUUACUGGAUCGGGAGAGCCUCGCGGCCUAUCAGCUUGUUGGUGAGGUAACGGCUCACCAAGGCAUCGACGGGUAGCUGGUCUGAGAGGAUGAUCAGCCACACUGGGACUGAGACACGGCCCAGACUCCUACGGGAGGCAGCAGUGGGGAAUCUUGCGCAAUGGGCGAAAGCCUGACGCAGCAACGCCGCGUGCGGGAAGAAGGCCCUCGGGUUGUAAACCGCUUUCAGUAGGAACGAAAAUGACGGUACCUGCAGAAGAAGGUGCGGCCAACUACGUGCCAGCAG